GCCCUGUGGUUGCUAGGGGCUAUUGUUCAGGUACAGAACUCCAGUGGGUACAAUGGGCCACAGCAAUCCUGUGAUUUUUGCAUGGCAUCUGUGUUUCCUCAGCAGCUGUCAUAGGCCGGUCACUGCUACAUGG
rfam:Cavia porcellus supercont2_87 genomic scaffold, whole genome shotgun sequence.